rnacentral:tRNA from 1 species
GGCAGAGUAGUCCAAUGGGUAGGGCACUGGACAGGGAUGCAGGCGACUUGGGUUACAUUCCUGUCUCUGCCA